rnacentral:rRNA from 1 species
UACGUAGGUGGCAAGCGUUGUCCGGAUUUACUGGGCGUAAAGCGCGCGCAGGCGGCCAAGUAAGUCGAAUGUGAAAGCCCCCGGCUCAACUGGGGAGGGUCAUUCGAUACUGCUCGGCUCGAAGACAGGAGAGGGAAGUGGAAUUCCCGGUGUAGUGGUGAAAUGCGUAGAUAUCGGGAGGGACACCAGUGGCGAAGGCGACUUUCUGGCCUGUUCUUGACGCUGAGGCGCGAAAGCUAGGGGAGCAAACGGG